rnacentral:rRNA from 1 species
UACGAAGGGGGCUAGCGUUGCUCGGAAUACUGGGCGUAAAGCGCACGUAGGCGGCCUACUAAGUCAGGGGUGAAAUCCUGGAGCUCAACUCCAGAACUGCCUUUGAUACUGGUUGGCUUGAGUCCGGGAGAGGUGAGUGGAACUGCGAGUGUAGAGGUGAAAUUCGUAGAUAUUCGCAAGAACACCAGUGGCGAAGGCGGCUCACUGGCCCGGUACUGACGCUGAGGUGCGAAAGCGUGGGGAGCAAACGGG